rnacentral:rRNA from 1 species
UGGGGAAUAUUGCACAAUGGGCGAAAGCCUGAUGCAGCAACGCCGCGUGAGUGAUGAAGGUCUUCGGAUUGUAAAGCUCUGUCUUUUGGGACGAUAAUGACGGUACCAAAGGAGGAAGCCACGGCUAACUACGUGCCAGCAGCCGCGGUAAUACGUAGGUGGCGAGCGUUGUCCGGAUUUACUGGGCGUAAAGGGUGCGUAGGCGGAUGUUUAAGUGAGAUGUGAAAUACCCGGGCUUAACUUGGGUGCUGCAUUUCAAACUGGAUAUCUAGAGUGCAGGAGAGGAGAAUGGAAUUCCUAGUGUAACGGUGAAAUGCGUAGAGAUUAGGAAGAACACCAGUGGCGAAGGCGAUUCUCUGGACUGUAACUGACGCUGAGGCACGAAAGCGUGGGUAGCAAACAGGAUUAGAUACCCUGGUAGUCCACGCCGUAAACGAUGAGUACUAGGUGUAGGAGGUAUCGACCCCUUCUGUGCCGCAGUAAACACAUUAAGUACUCCGCCUGGGAAGUACGAUCGCAAGAUUAAAACUCUAAAGUGAA